CUCAUCUUGUUUUGUUUUGUCUUUCAUACCAGGUCAUGUGUCUUCUCAGUCAUGUGUCUUCUCAGUCAUGUUGACACUGGUCUACUACCAGGUCAUGUGUCUCCUCAGUCAUGUUGACACUGGUCUACUACCAGGUCAUGUGUCUUCUCAGUCAUGUUGACACUGGUCUACUACCAGGUCAUGUGUCUUCUCAGUCAUGUUGACACUGGUCUACUACCAGGUCAUGUGUCUUCUCAGUCAUGUUGACACUGGUCUACUACCAGGUCAUGUGUCUUCUCAGUCAUAUUGACACUGGUCUACUACCAGGUCAUGUGUCUUCUCAGUCAUGUUGACACUGGUCUACAACCAGGUCAUGUGUCUUCUCAGUCAUGUUGACACUGGUCUACUACCAGGUCAUGUGUCUUCUCAGUCAUGUUGACACUGGUCUACUACCAGGUCAUGUGUCUUCUCAGUCAUAUUGACACUGGUCUACUACCAGGUCAUGUGUCUUCUCAGUCAUGUUGACACUGGUCUACAACCAGGUCAUGUGUCUUCUCAGUCAUGUUGACACUGGUCUACUACCAGGUCAUGUGUCUUCUCAGUCAUGUUGACACUGGUCUACUACCAGGUCAUGUGUCUCCUCAGUCAUGUUGACACUGGUCUACUACCAGGUCAUGUGUCUUCUCAGUCAUGUUGACACUGGUCUACUACCAGGUCAUGUGUCUUCUCAGUCAUGUUGACACUGGUCUACUACCAGGUCAUGUGUCUCCUCAGUCAUGUUGACACUGGUCUACUACCAGGUCAUGUGUCUUCUCAGUCAUGUUGACACUGGUCUACUACCAGGUCAUGUGUCUUCUCAGUCAUGUUGACACUGGUCUACUACCAGGUCAUGUGUCUUCUCAGUCAUGUUGACACUGGUCUACUACCAGGUCAUGUGUCUUCUCAGUCAUGUUGACACUGA